GGUGCCGCCACACCACGAACUGAUGAAGAGCGGAGUAGCUCCCAAAAUGUUUGAAUAAACUCGCCAUUAAUUCGAUUAUAUAGACGCACAGUCGAGAAUGAUCAAUUCGUGAUCAACUGCACGACAUGGCGGAAUGCCGACCCCUUCUGAAAUCCAGUUGUGACUUGAAGAGGACAGUGAGGCGGCUCAGAGUUGGAAGGUUCAGAGUGGACCCCAGAGAACACCCACCUUCAGUUAAGAAUGCUGUUCACACACCGGAGAGAGACGAACAGCCAACACCCUAAUUCCA